UCAAUUUAGAUACCAUUUUCAUAAAUGUAAAAUAACUAAUCACGUCAUGAAGUAUCUUUUUUAAAUACUUUUUUCAUACAAUACCAAACAACUAAUCACAUUAUAUGGGGCAUCUAUUUAUAUACCUUUUUUCAUAUAAUUACAAUACAAUACAAUCAAUGUGUAUCUUAAUGGUAAAACAAAAUAAACAACUAAUCACAUCAUGUUUAAUGGUUUAAUUGAUAGAUCUUCUACAUUUGAAUGAUUAUUGCUUUGGCCCCAAUAAUUAUUUGAUUAUAGAUCUUUUAUCUCCCGAAUUCCUGUAGUUGAAUGUAAACUGUUUUCAUCAACAAUGAAUUCGACACCACACUAUUUACAUCCAUAGUUAUAUCCCUCAACGUUAUACACAAUGGAUACUUGAUGAAGAUCUUUCUAUUUACCUUUUCUUGAUUCAAAUAUACCUGCACACCAAUAUGCAAUCACAUAGGUUAGGUCAUUAUAUUGUGUUUUUGAAUAAUAAAUAAUUUCUUCGAAUUUGAAAUUUGCAUAUGUACUUUCUAAAUCAAUACAAAACAAAUAAAAUAUAAUCAAAUCAACAUAAUUUUAUGUAUGGAAUUGGAAGAAUUUGAAUAUUGAAAAAGAUUGAAAUUACAUGUGACAUUUCAGCUUCCUCCAUGUUGUAUCAUAAUUGAAUGAAAAUUAUCACCCUCCAUGUUUUCACACAAUCGAUCUGUCGUUUUCAAUUUUUUUUUCUUUGAAUAAUUGUAAUUUCAAUUAAAAUACUUUAGUAAGUAUUUUAAUUCAAUUCAACGCCUUAAAUACCACCCAUGAGAGGUUUUGUGUUUCAAUUAGUAUAUUUUGUUGAUUUGUUGAAGAAGAUUAUUGUUGGAGAAAAAGAAUAUUUUCGGAGCAGAAGAAGAUGCUUUAAAACAGUUUGAGAAAAGUUGAGGGUGAUUGACAUCCUUUAAU
rnacentral:lncRNA from 1 species